rnacentral:rRNA from 1 species
UAAACUGAAGAGUUUGAUCAUGGCUCAGAUUGAACGCUGGCGGCAGGCUUAACACAUGCAAGUCGAGCGGGGAAAGGUAGCUUGCUACCUAACUUAGCGGCGGACGGGUGAGUAAUGCUUAGGAAUCUGCCUAUUAGUGGGGGACAACAUUUCGAAAGGAAUGCUAAUACCGCAUACGCCCUACGGGGGAAAGCAGGGGAUCUUCGGACCUUGCGCUAAUAGAUGAGCCUAAGUCGG